UUAGGUAGACAGGAAUUAUACGUGUUUUGUUCAUUGCCACAGCCCCAGUAGUACUGGGAAUAAUAUGCUAUUUGUGUCUUCACUGCAGUAUUUGCUGAAGUGCUGAAGGAGCCAACCAAACUGAAAAGGAACACUGACCUCAUGUGACUCCCCCCCCCACCUCAUCAUUCCCUGUCUUGGGACACAGCACCUGAGACUUGUGAAAGCUUAUCACCCUGUGGAAACUUUCAGGGUUCCUCAGGCUCUGUUUGGAAGGUUCUGUGGUGAUGGAUAUUCUCAGCCACCCCUGUCUCAGAAAUGAAUCAGGAACACGGAUGCUGCUGGAAACCCGAACUCCGCUAAGAAGCUGACUCAACUUCAUUUUCAUUCACAAUCAGAAGCGUAAUGAGCGCUUCAUCACGCCACACCCGGGUGAGGGGCUGAGGACGCAGCUGUGAGCCACAGUCACAAGACCCCACUGCUCUCACAGAACUGGUAUUUUAGAUAAAUUGAUAUUCACAGAGAAAAAAAAAUUGUACAACUUUUCCAUUGGGAACUCGAUCUGUGUUUCCAUGGCAACGCUCUUCCUUUUGCCCAGCCCUCACAUGUAGAAGUGUGGGGUAAUAAGAUCGGCUUUAUCCACCACAAUUAGAUGUCGCACAGGUUUCCUGGAGUGGGGCUAUAAUGGUUUACAAGACUUUCCACCUCUGGCCCACUUUCCUCUUGGUCAUGGGGAACCUGGACAUAGCAUCUGGGGUGUGGGCCGCUCCUGAGGCAGAGAGCCCAGUGAACACACUGAAGGCUUAACUACACCACUGGGAAAUACGAGGGAAAACUGUCCCAAACCCAGAACUCUAAGACUGUGGAAACGCUCAGAAAUGAAAGGUGUGGCUUUCCUAAGCAUUGCCAGCUUUCUCUCCUUCUCAAGCCAAGUCAAACAUGAUACAAUGUAGCUGACUUUCAGACUUCCCACAGGAGGAAGUAUACAUUCUAAACCCAAGUGUGGAAAUCACACUUGGGUCUGGAAGAUGUCUAGUUUGAGCUGCAGGAAGUUAAAUGCAGCUGGUCCCCUCAGGCUUACUCGUGAGCACAUUGAAGAACCAGCUAGGAGACAGGCUGUGUGGAACUGCAGGACGUCGUACUUUACAAGGGGCUGGGGAUCUCUGCAAAAGAGCCUGCCCAACUCCCAAAGCCCGGACAGACACAACCCUGGACACAACCUAAUAGUGUCAGUUUCAUCUGCUUCUGCGGUGUUAGAGAAGUGUUUCUUGCCUUCUUUGUUUGGGUUUUCUAGAUUUCCCCUGACCUGUGCUGAAUCCAUGGUGCUAAGUACUACAUAUAGGAGGGGAAAAAAUGUGACAGAGCCUGUCUGCAAAAGGGGUCAGUGUAGGUGUGAUUGUUAAGGAUUUCAAGACUGAAUCAUUCUUGAUCAUAGUGGGGUCUGAAUUCAACAAGAAAGGAAUAGAAGAAAGGUGGGGGUGAAAAGGGAGGAGAGAGGAGACAGAGAAACACAUUCUCUGUGUUUGAGACAGAUUGGAUGAUUCAUCCACAAGCCAUGAAUUGAAGUGUGGGAUGGACUUCCCCUCUGACUUUGUGCUUCUUGCCUCCAGAACUCUGAAAGUGUGCAUUUCUGUUAGGCUAAUGGGUGUGUAGCACUGUGCUAUGUCACUAGAGGAAACUCAGAGACCUGCUUUCCUCAAUUCUUGUUCUCUGGCUUUGGUCCUUCCUCGCCUGUGUGACAGGGUCACAUCAGGUGUGGGAGAGCAGUGCUGUUGGGAAAGCAUUUUCUCAACGAUGACCUUCUCAGGAGACCCAGCCUCUAACUGAAGCUACCUCUGAGACACCCUCAGGAACAGCCUCUCAGAUGCACUACAGCUGUCUUCAGGAGGACCCAAAAUGAGACUGUAUAGGAACAGAACACAGGGUUCCUCCACCCUUGGCCAGAGUGUGACACUUUUACUGGAGCCCUGUUCUUUCUGUAAAAGGAGAGGCUGUGUCUCUGUGAGUGCCCUUUGUAAGUGACUUUACAUGGUAUUGGGUGUCAGUGCCCUUUGUAAGUGACUUUACAUGGUAUUGGGUGUCAGUGCCCUUUGUAAGUAAGUGACUUUACAUGGUCCUGGGUGAAUUUAAAAGAGAAAUGGAAUUUAAAGCAAUAGUUUGAGCAAACCUUGUACACUGUAGCACUCUUAAGGAUAUUUUGCUUUCUGUGUGGUUGUUGGCGAGUGUCCAUAACAGGAAACAGAGCCAUACUUUCAGGAGGCUUUCUCUG